AGGAGUUUGAUCCUGGCUCAGGAUGAACGCUGGCGGUAUGCCUAACACAUGCAAGUUGAACGAAAGCUUUAGCUUUAGUAGCGGACGGGUGAGUAAUACGUGAGAAUCUACCUCUAGGAGGGGGACAACAAUUGGAAACGAUUGCUAAUACCCCAUAUGCUUACAAGUGAAAAAAAAUAUUUGCCUAGAGAUGAGCUCACGCCUGAUUAGCUAGUUGGUAGGAUAAUAGCCUACCAAGGCAACGAUCAGUAGCUGGUUUGAGAGGAUGAUCAGCCACACUGGGACUGAGAUACGGCCCAGACUUCUACGGAAGGCAGCAGUGGGGAAUUUUCCGCAAUGGGCGAAAGCCUGACGGAGCAAUACCGCGUGAGGGAAGAAUGCCUGUGGGUUGUAAACCUCUUUUUUUAGGGAAGAAGAUCUGACGGUACCUAAAGAAUAAGCAUCGGCUAACUCCGUGCCAGCAGCCGCGGUAAUACGGGGGAUGCAAGCGUUAUCCGGAAUCACUGGGCGUAAAGAGUCUGUAGGUUGCUUGAUAAGUCUACUGUUAAAUAUCAGAGCUCAACUUUGAAACAGCGGCAGAAACUAUUAGGCUUGAGUAUGGUAGGGGUAGAGGGAAUUCCUAGUGUAGAGGUGAAAUUCGUAGAUAUUAGGAAGAACACCAGUGGCGAAGGCGGCUCACUGGCUCGAUACUGACGCUGAGGUACGAAAGCG
rnacentral:rRNA from 1 species